GUUGGAAAAGACUGAUGAACUGACAUCCAAUUUCUCUUUUAGCUGAAUGAACAUUCCUCCUAUCAUGGAAUUCAAUGUAUGGAAAGCCUCAUGUUUUGGGCCCAAACCCACAUGCUAUAAAACUUCUUAACUCUCCAAUUGCCAUCAGGACAAUUCCAUACCACCAGAAAGCACUUUUCAGGAGUUCAACUGUAAGUGGUCGAUUAAGUAACCACUCAGGGAAUAAAAAGGACAGACCUGAAGUUAGCAACUCACCAAGGACUUAAUUAGACUUGCAUUUUAUAAAGAUCCAGCUCAGCAGCCUAGCUAUUCCUUUCAGUUUCAUGUUCUCUGAGAAUUUUGCCAGUGUAGAAGGGUG
rnacentral:lncRNA from 1 species